GGCGAACGCUGGCGGCGUGCCUAAUACAUGCAAGUAGAACGCUGAAGCGAGGAGCUUGCUCUUCUUGGAUGAGUUGCGAACGGGUGAGUAACGCGUAGGUAACCUGCCUUGUAGCGGGGGAUAACUAUUGGAAACGAUAGCUAAUACCGCAUAACAAUGGAUGACACAUGUCAUUUAUUUGAAAGGGGCAAUUGCUCCACUACAAGAUGGACCUGCGUUGUAUUAGCUAGUAGGUGAGGUAAUGGCUCACCUAGGCGACGAUACAUAGCCGACCUGAGAGGGUGAUCGGCCACACUGGGACUGAGACACGGCCCAGACUCCUACGGGAGGCAGCAGUAGGGAAUCUUCGGCAAUGGGGGCAACCCUGACCGAGCAACGCCGCGUGAGUGAAGAAGGUUUUCGGAUCGUAAAGCUCUGUUGUAAGUCAAGAACGGGUGUGAGAGUGGAAAGUUCACACUGUGACGGUAGCCUACCAGAAAGGGACGGCUAACUACGUG
rnacentral:rRNA from 1 species